CGUCAAGUCCUCAUGGCCCUUAUGCCCAGGGCUGCACACGUCCUACAAUGGCACACACAGAGGGAUGCAAAAUCGUGAGAUCAAGCAAAUCCCAAAAAAUGUGCCUCAGUUCGGAUUGGAGUCUGCAAUUCGACUCCAUGAAGUCGGAAUCGCUAGUAAUCGCGGGUCAGCAUACCGCGGUGAAUGUGUUCCUGAGCCUU
rnacentral:rRNA from 1 species